GAUGAAGAACGUAGCGAAAUGCGAUACGUAAUGUGAAUUGCAGAAUUCAGUGAAUCAUCGAGUCUUUGAACGCACAUUGCGCCCCCUGGUAUUCCGGGGGGCAUGCCUGUCCGAGCGUCAUUGCUGCCCUCAAGCACGGCUUGUGUGUUGGGCCUCCGUCCUCCUCCCGGGGGACGGGCCCGAAAGGCAGCGGCGGCACCGCGUCCGGUCCUCGAGCGUAUGGGGCUUCGUCACCCGCUCUUGUAGGCCCGGUCGGCGCUUGCCGACACAUCAAUCUUUUUUCCAGGUUGACCUCGGAUCAGGUAGGGAUACCCGCUGAACUUAAGCAUAUCAAUAACGGAGGA
rnacentral:misc_RNA from 1 species